UUAGGGAGCUACCAUUUGAUUUUUAUGGGGGGGGCUAGGAUGAAAUUUGAAAAAAAUAGGCAGGACGGAGUUGAGUUAAAAAAAAAGCAGGAUGAGACACUUGCAAAAAAAAAGUCAGGAUGACAAUUUAUGUAAAAAAAGUCAGGAUAAACUAAAAAAAAAAAAAGCAGGACCGAAUAGAGUGAAAAAUAAAAAGGCAGGACAGAGAUUACAACUAAAAAAAAAUGCAGGACAAAAUUUUUCAUCCUAGCCCCCCCCCCCC
rnacentral:lncRNA from 1 species